UUGAUAAAAAUGACAAACUCAAAAACUUUCCCAGGUUAUCUGCCAAAUUGUCGCUGAAUUUAGUGCUGUAUCCACUGCAAACCUCAUUUAGCAAAUCUCCAAGUUAUUUCAUGUUGGUCAAAACAAAGACUGCCUCUUUAAUUCUGGGAGAAUGUAGGCUGUGGCCCAGCAGAGGGGAGGCCAUCUCUGUAGUUAGCAUGCUGUAGCAAAGAUCUGCUGUGAAAACUGUAAAAUUACUCUUGGUUGGAAAUAGAAACCUGCCUUUGAGAGCAGUCAGCAAUGUUAAGAGAUGAAAGUUUAUUACUGAAUGAGCUCACAUGUUCAAAGACAAUGG
rnacentral:lncRNA from 1 species